GAUGAACGCUGGCGGCGUGCUUAACACAUGCAAGUCGAACGAUGAAGCCCAGCUUGCUGGGUGGAUUAGUGGCGAACGGGUGAGUAACACGUGAGUAACCUGCCCUUAACUCUGGGAUAAGCCUGGGAAACUGGGUCUAAUACCGGAUAGGAGCGUCCACCGCAUGGUGGGUGUUGGAAAGAUUUAUCGGUUUUGGAUGGACUCGCGGCCUAUCAGCUUGUUGGUGAGGUAAUGGCUCACCAAGGCGACGACGGGUAGCCGGCCUGAGAGGGUGACCGGCCACACUGGGACUGAGACACGGCCCAGACUCCUACGGGAGGCAGCAGUGGGGAAUAUUGCACAAUGGGCGCAAGCCUGAUGCAGCGACGCCGCGUGAGGGAUGACGGCCUUCGGGUUGUAAACCUCUUUCAGUGGGGAAGAAGCGAAAGUGACGGUACCUGCAGAAGAAGCACCGGCUAACUACGUG
rnacentral:rRNA from 1 species